UACAUAAACAAUAUUAAUCGAAUCGCAUAGUCGAAAAUUAUAUUCCUUCCCCACAUAUAUUUUAGGUUUGAGAGAUUUUUGUCACGAACUGAGCCAGAAAGUGAACACACCAUUGCCGAGCAGCAAAUUGUACUUCUGAUUCGGAUAUAAUUAUGCAGUUUCCGGAUGUUAUCAUUGUGACGAAUUUACGACGGAUGGAACCGCAAAAUACCAAGGGCUUGGUGGCAGGGGAAAAGCAUCAUGGGCAGCAAAAGCCGCGUCAAGUGUCCAUGAGGUUUCAGGCUAUGCAUUCGCAGAGCUCAUUCUUCUGUCCAGGAAUUGACUAUCAUUUAGCCCCAGGUGCAAAAGAGGAACGAACAUAUAUCCGAAAGUUCGCGCUUCGCGGGACGGCACCAUUCAAACACUUCUGUCGAGAACACCUGUAGAGAAAAAAAACCUUCCUCCAAGUGAUUGUAUUUUAACGGAGGAUAAACUGAAUCCCCGUAAGUUUUCCAUUAAUGGAUUCGCUGAGCCCGUAAGUCGAAACAGGAUUUGACAUCUUCUCGGACAUAAAACCACAUCAGGAAGCACGCAUCUAUAGACCGAUGUCGACAGAAUUAUGGACACCGUUGGUCUCUCUUUCUGGCUCUCUUACAAACUUUUAUCAAGCCCCAGUUUUUCUCAAAAUAAAAUGACAAAUGUUUGAUGAUAUCUCUUAAUAAAUAUACCUAUUACAA